rnacentral:rRNA from 1 species
GAUGAACGCUGGCGGCGUGCCUAAUACAUGCAAGUCGAGCGAACAGACGAGGAGCUUGCUCCUCUGACGUUAGCGGCGGACGGGUGAGUAACACGUGGAUAACCUACCUAUAAGACUGGGAUAACUUCGGGAAACCGGAGCUAAUACCGGAUAAUAUAUUGAACCGCAUGGUUCAAUAGUGAAAGACGGUUUUGCUGUCACUAAUAGAUGGAUCCCCUCCGCAUUAGCUAGUUGGUAAGGUAACGGCUUACCAAGGCGACGAUGCGUAGCCGACCUGAGAGGGUGAUCGGCCAAACUGGAACUGAGACACGGUCCAAACUCCUACGGGAGGCAGCAGUAGGGAAUCUUCCGAAAUGGGCGAAAGCCUGACGGAGCAAGGCCGCGUGAGUGAUGAAGGUCUUCGGAUCUUAAAACUCUGUUAUUAGGGAAGACCAAAUGUGUAAGUAACUAUGCACGUCUUGACGGUACCUAAUCAGAAAGCCACGGCUAACUACGUG